AGUCACUGACAUUAGAUACCCCGGUAGUCCCAGCCGUAAACAAUGUGCGUUAGGUGUGUCGGUAACCACGUGUUACUGAUGCGCCGAAGAGAAAUCGUGAAACGCACCACCUGGGAAGUACGGUCGCAAGGCUGAAACUUAAAGGAAUUGGCGGAGGAGCACCACAACAGGUGGAGCCUGCGGUUUAAUUGGAUUCAACGCCGGACAUCUCACCGGAUAAGACAGCUGAAUGAUUGUCAAUCUGAAGGUUUACAUGACUAGCUG
rnacentral:rRNA from 1 species